AAAGCACAACCCAAAUAACUUGUUUUCAGCUGCAGACUUUUAACAGUGUCUACAUGACAAAAUAAAUAAACCUAUCCUCAUGUGCCACAAUGGGCACUAAUUUAAAGGGCAGUAAUCUCUAAAUUGCAGUAUAAGAAAUCGUUUCUGACCUUCCAGGAACAGCAGGGAGCGGUGGCCAUCCUGGAUGUGGCGAUUCACUGAGGAACCCCAGUUUUGUUCUUGCGGAACACCAAUUGGGAAACGCUGCAUUAGCAGAUCAUAGACUGAUAAAGAUUGCUACAGCAGUUUUAAGUAUCUUUAUUUUAGAAAUAUAUUGUUUUACUGUAUGUGGUAGAUGCAGACAUGUUUUUAAAUUAUGUUGACAUUUUUAGUAAGCUGUACUGCUAGUAAGACCUACAGGGUACUUACUACAAAUACCUAAGCAAUUUAUCUAUCCGUUUUUAUUUAUCUAUUUUUGUGCAUUAACUGUAUGUGAGAAAUUUUCAUUUCCCUGAUAUUUCUUUAUUUUUUGUAAAGGAG